rnacentral:rRNA from 1 species
CAAUAGCGUAUAUUAAAGUUGUUGCAGUUAAAAAGCUCGUAGUUGGAUUUGUGGUGUACUUCGGCGGCCCGUCACUAUGUGAUGGAGCUUGCUGAAGUCGCCAUCCUUGGGUGGAUCCUGUGUGGCAUUAAGUUGUCGUGCAGGGGAUGCCCAUCGUUUACUGUGAAAAAAUUAGAGUGUUCAAAGCAGGCUUAUGCCGUUGAAUAUGUUAGCAUGGAAUAAUAAGAUAGGACCUUGGUACUAUUUUGUUGGUUUGCGCACCAAGGUAAUGAUUAAUAGGGACAGUUGGGGGUAUUCGUAUUUCAUUGUCAGAGGUGAAAUUCUUGGAUUUUUGAAAGACGAACUACUGCGAAANCANNNACCAAGGAUGUUUUCAUNAA